GUUUCCAUUCCUUAUAGGUAUUCUACAAAC
rnacentral:other from 1 species